rnacentral:lncRNA from 1 species
AUGAAGUGCUUUGAGCGGAUCAUUUUAACACGUCUUAAAAUACAAACUCAUGAACACAUGGACACAUUACAGUUUGCGUACAGAGAGAGGAGGGGAGUGGAAGAUGCUGUCACAACCCUCCUGAAUGGAAUUUAUAAACAUCUGGAAACAACUGCCUCUCAUGUACGCAUUCUGUUUGCAGACUUCUCUUCAGUUUUCAACACCAUUCAGUCACACAUGUUGAUAGAGAAGCUGACCCAAAUGGGUGUAAACCUCAUUUUGGUGCAGUGGAUUCCGGAUUUUUUAACAGGGAGACAACAGUAUGUGAGGGCGGGUUACAGUCAUUCUAGAACCAUUAUUACAAACACGGGUGUGCCACAAGGAUGUGUUUUAUCACCAUUGUUAUUUAUUUUAUACACUAAUGAUUGUGUUAGCCACCACUCCAACUGUUCACUAAUUAAGUUUGCAGAUGAUGCUGCACUAGUUGGUUUUCUAACAGACAGUGAUCAAGACUACAGGUCUGAGGUUGACCAUUUCCAUGACUGGUGCAAUCAAAAUUCACUUAUUUUAAACGUGUCUAAAACAAAAGAAAUGGUGAUUGAUUUUAGGAAAAGGCCCCCUCCAUUGCAACCUAUCACUAUUCAUGGGACAGUCAUUGAGACAGUGGAGGAGUAUAAGUAUCUAGGCACUAUUAUUGAUCACAAACUCACCUGGUCUUCUAAUACAUUGGCACGAUACUCAAAAGCACAGCAAAGGCUUCAUUUUUUAAGGAAAUUGCGUAGUUUUAAUGCAGACACCACAACUCUGACAUUGUUUUAUUUAACUUUUAUUCAGAGUGUGGUGACUUUCGCCAUCCAGUGCUGGGGGGGUGCUCUUUCUGUCCAAAACAGAAACAUGCUGGACAGGGUGACUAAGAUGGGCAGGAAAAUCACUGGAUCCGAAAUAAAAAACAUAACUACCCUCACCGAACAGUAUACCCUCAAUCUGGCCCUGAGGAUACUGGAUGAUCCAUCCCACCCACUUUUUUCAGAGUUUUCCCCCCUGCCCUCUGGAUGUAGAUUCAGAAUGCCCCGGACUAAAACUAAACGUGCCAUUUUAUCUUUUGUGCCAAGGAGCAUACAGUUACUGAACAAAUCAAGCUCAGGCACAUAG